CCCCGCUGAACUUAAGCAUAUUAAUAAGCGGAGGAAAAGAAACCAACAGGGAUAUUCUUAGUAACGGCGAGUGAAGAGAAUACAGCCCAGCGCUGAAUCGUAUUGCUUGAAAGGGUGAUACGACAUGUAGCGUGAAACUGGCGGCUGUUGAUGUUGUCGAUGCGUGUAAGUCUUCUUGAGCGGGGCUCAGUCCCAGAGAUGGUGCUAGGCCCGUAUCGCGCGUGACAAGUACAGCAACGCCCGCUUGUGGAGAGUCAGGUUGUUUGGGAACACAAUCUAAAGCCGGUGGUACACUCCAUCGAAGGCUAAAUAUGACCACGAGUCCGAUAGCGAACAAGUACCGUGAGGGAAAAUUGAAAAGCACUUUGAAGAGAGAGCGAAAUAGUGCGUGAAACCGCUUAGAGGCAAGCAGAUGGAUUCUCGAAGGUGUGCAUAGGAUUUAUUUCCUAGUUCUCACGCCACCACUGUUGUUGACGUGCACCAUGCGCUGACAUUUGGACGCUUGAGAUUGGGACUCGUGCCUGCUUGAGACGCUCGGUGUUGGACGUGUUGAGUUUUUGUGGCAUGCAAUAACAGAGCAGAGCAAUUGUCGUCGCUGUAAAGCGCCGACUGUGGCCGCUUGCUGAUGCAUUGUCGUUGUGGCGAGGCGCAAGCUUCGACAUGCGAUAUGUGUUGCAAAUCGGCUAUUAGUACCGGCAAGACGACUUUAAGACUCGGUGGCGAGUAGAUGAAAUUCCAUCUAACCCGUCUUGAAACACGGGACCAAGGA
rnacentral:rRNA from 1 species